UACGAGGGGGGCAAGCGUUGUUCGGAAUUAUUGGGCGUAAAGGGUGCGUAGGCGGCUUGAUAAGUCACAUGUGAAAUCUUCGGGCUCAACCCGAAGUCUGCAUGCGAAACUGUCGGGCUUGAGUAUGGGAGAGGUGAGUGGAAUUUCCGGUGUAGCGGUGAAAUGCGUAGAUAUCGGGAGGAACACCAGUGGCGAAGGCGGCCUUCUGGACCAGUACUGACGCUCAUGCACGAAAGCGUGGGGAGCAAACAGG
rnacentral:rRNA from 1 species